AACGCACCUUGCGCCCAUUGGAUUACCACUGGGCACGCCCGUUCGAGUGUCACGUUCACCCUCGCAUCCCUUUAGUAUUUUCUGAAGGGGUUGCGGACUUGGACGUUGCCGGAUGCUUUGUGUCCGGCUCGUCUGAAAUGCAUUAGCUGGAGCGGCUCGCCGCGUCGGCCUCGGUGUAAUAUUUCUUUGCGCCGUCCAUCGACGUGGUGGUAUUGCGGUUCUGCUUCGAACGCCGUGUUCGUCACACGGAAUAAAACUUCAAAGUUUGACCUCGGAUCGGGUGGGACUACCCGCUGAACUUAA
rnacentral:misc_RNA from 1 species